CCGCAAUGGGCGAAAGCCUGACGGAGCAAUACCGCGUGAGGGAGGAAGGCUCUUGGGUCGUAAACCUCUUUUCUCAAGGAAGAAGAAAGUGACGGUACUUGAGGAAUAAGCAUCGGCUAACUCCGUGCCAGCAGCCGCGGUAAUACGGAGGAUGCAAGCGUUAUCCGGAAUGAUUGGGCGUAAAGGGUCUGCAGGUGGAACUGAAAGUCUGCUGUUAAAGAGUUUGGCUUAACCAAAUAAAAGCGGUGGAAACUACAGAACUAGAGUGCGGUAGGGGCAAACCGAAUUCCUGGUGUAGCGUUGUAAUCAGU
rnacentral:rRNA from 1 species